GUUUAAACAGCUUAAUUUUUAAAGCUUUUCAUUGAAGAUGAAAAAAUUAUAAGAUAAUAUCUUUAAACA
rnacentral:tRNA from 1 species